rnacentral:rRNA from 1 species
CCUACGGGUGGCAGCAGUGAGGAAUAUUGGUCAAUGGGCGCGAGCCUGACCCAGCCACGUAGCGUGAAGGCUGACUGCCCUACGGGUUGUAACCUUCUUUUAUAAAGGACUAAAGUGAGUCUCGUGUGCCUUUUUGUAUGUAUUUUAUGAAUAAGGAUCGGCUAACGCCGUGCCAUCAGCCGCGGUACUACGGGGGGUCCGCGUGUUAUCCGGAUUUAUUGGGAUAAACGGGUGCGCAGGGGGAAGAUCAAGUCAGCGGUAAAAUUCAGAGGCUCAACCGCUUCGAGCCGUUGAACCUGGUUUUCUUGAGUGAGUGAGAAGUAGGCGGAAUUCGUGGUGGAGCGGUGAAAUGCAUAGAUAUCAGGCAGAACUCCGAUUGCGAAGGCAGCAUACCGGCGCUCAACUGACGCUCAUGCACGAAAGUGUGGGUAUCGAACAGGAUUAGAUACCCUAGUAGUC